rnacentral:rRNA from 1 species
AUUGAACGCUGGCGGCAGGCCUAACACAUGCAAGUCGAGCGGAUGAAGGGAGCUUGCUCCUGGAUUCAGCGGCGGACGGGUGAGUAAUGCCUAGGAAUCUGCCUGGUAGUGGGGUAUAACGUCCGGAAACGGGCGCUAAUACCGCAUACGUCCUGAGGGAGAAAGUGGGGGAUCUUCGGACCUCACGCUAUCAGAUGAUCCUAGGUCGGAUUAGCUAGUUGGUGGGGUAAAGGCCUACCAAGGCGACGAUCCGUAACUGGUCUGAGAGGAUGAUCAGUCACACUGGAACUGAGACACGGACAAGACUCCUACGGGAGGCAGCAGUGGGGAAUAUUGGACAAUGGGCGAAAGCCUGAUCCAGCCAUGCCGCGUGUGUGAAGAAGGUCUUCGGAUUGUAUAGCACUUUAAGUUGGGAGGAAGGGCAGUAAGUUAAUACCUUGCUGUUUUGACGUUACCAACAGAAUAAGCACCGGCUAACUUCGUG